rnacentral:lncRNA from 1 species
AUUAAUUGACAAUGAAUUGUCCAGAUGAAUUGAUCAAAAUAACCCUGCUAUUGAUGUUGUCCAGUGUUUGAUUCAAUUACCUAGGUCUAGGUUGUAUUUCUAUGUAUCAUUCUCUGCAAAUCCUUUGAAAGUAUGUCUUGGUCAUAGAUUAUCACUAAUUUCACCUUUUAAAAUGAAGCAAGAGAUAGAGAGAUUGAGGCUAUGGCAGAAAGUCAUGGAGGAUCAGCGACCAAGACUGGCCUGGAACAACAAACCUAUUGAGACAGAAAGAGAGAGGGAAAGAGAGAGGGAAAGAGAGAGAGAAAGGGAGAUGGAAAGGGAGAGAAAACCAGAAUUGGAAAGACAAGAAAUGAAGAAGAAAGUGAAACAGGCAGAAGAAAUGAUAAAAGCGUUAGAACGAGAGAUUGAUAGAUUGAAAGAGAUUGAAAAGAAGAUAAUAUUUGAAAGAGAAAGAGACAUGCGUAUUGCAGAGAACGAGAAAGUCAAACUGGUUAACGAAAAGGCAAAAGAGUUAGAGAGAGAGAGGGAGAAGAGGAACCUCAAAAAGAUCAAGAGAACGUAUCAGAGAGAGGCUGAGGAGGGCUAUAAGAUCAUCCAUAUAGGUAAGACCUGUUUUCCCUCUGCUUAUGACCUCACUCCUCUUUAGUCUCCUCUACACACAUAAGUUCCACACCAGUCAUCAUGUUGCAUCAUUGUUUCAAUAUAAAACUACUGUCCAAAAUGGUCAAGCUGAUCUGGUAUCAACUUAAAUGUAAUGUACACAGGGAAUUUAGAAUGGAAAACUCAACUGGAUCUCAAUUACCCUGGUCUAAAGUAGGGCAUCAUAGCCUUUUGGGGCCCUAAGAAACAUUUUCUUCAGGUUUUUGACUACAAUUCCUCCAAAUCUACACUUUGCAAUGGGGCGUAGGGAACAUGUUGCAGUUUUUUAAACAAGUUUGCUGCAAUUCUACACAUUUUCCCAUGGGGUGGAGAGAAGAAUUAGUAGUUUUAAAGCUAAUUUCUUUGAAUUCUACACAUUUUCCCAUGGGGUGG